rnacentral:rRNA from 1 species
AUUGAACGCUGGCGGAAUGCUUUACACAUGCAAGUCGAACGGCAGCACGGACUUCGGUCUGGUGGCGAGUGGCGAACGGGUGAGUAAUAUAUCGGAACGUGCCCAGUCGUGGGGGAUAACGUAGCGAAAGUUACGCUAAUACCGCAUACGAUCUAAGGAUGAAAGCGGGGGAUCGCAAGACCUCGCGCGAUUGGAGCGGCCGAUAUCAGAUUAGGUAGUUGGUGGGGGUAAAGGGCUCACCAAGCCAACGAUCUGUAGCUGGUCUGAGAGGACGACCAGCCACACUGGAACUGAGACACGGUCCAGACUCCUACGGGAGGCAGCAGUGGGGAAUUUUUGGGACAAUGGACGCAAGUCUGAUCCAGCCAUUCCGCGUGCAGGAUGAAGGCCCUCGGGUUGUAAACUGCUUUAUACAGGAAGAACACUCGACGUG